ACUCCUACGGGAGGCAGCAGUGGGGAAUAUUGGACAAUGGGCGAAAGCCUGAUCCAGCAAUACCGCGUAUGUGAAGAAGGCCUUCGGGUUGUAAAGCACUUUCAAUUGGGAGGAAAACCUACCGGUCAAUACCCGGUAGCUUGACGUUACCUUUAGAAGAAAGCACCGGCUAACUACGUGCCAGCAGCCGCGGUAAUACGGAGGGGGCAAGCGUUAUUCGGAAUUACUGGGCGUAAAGCGUGCGUAGGCGGUUGUUUAAGUCAGAUGUGAAAGCCCCGGGCUCAACCUGGGAACUGCAUUUGAAACUGGCGGACUAGAGUUUAGUAGAGGGGAGUGGAAUUUCAGGUGUAGCGGUGAAAUGCGUAGAUAUCUGAAGGAACACCAGUGGCGAAGGCGGCUCUCUGGACUAGAACUGACGCUGAGGUACGAAAGCGUGGGUAGCAAACAGGAUUAGAUACCCUGGUAGUCCACGCCGUAAACUAUGUCAACUAGCUGUUGGUGGUAUUUACACGUUCAGUGCCGCAGCUAACGCAUUAAGUUGACCGCCUGGGGAGUACGGCCGCAAGGUUAAAACUCAAAGAA
rnacentral:rRNA from 1 species